rnacentral:rRNA from 1 species
AGUGAACGCUGGCGAUAGGCCUAACACAUGCAAGUCGAACGGCAGCACAGUAAGAGCUUGCUCUUACGGGUGGCGAGUGGCGGGCGGGUGAGGAAUACAUCGGAAUCUACUUUUUCGUGGGGGAUAACGUAGGGAAACUUACGCUAAUACCGCAUACGACCUACGGGUGAAAGCAGGGGAUCUUCGGACCUUGCGCGAUUGAAUGAGCCGAUGUCGGAUUAGCUAGUUGGCGGGGUAAAGGCCCACCAAGGCGACGAUCCGUAGCUGGUCUGAGAGGAUGAUCAGCCACACUGGAACUGAGACACGGUCCAGACUCCUACGGGAGGCAGCAGUGGGGAAUAUUGGACAAUGGGCGCAAGCCUGAUCCAGCCAUACCGCGUGGGUGAAGGAGGCCUUCGGGUUGUAAAGCCCUUUUGUUGGGAAAGAAAAGCAGCAGGUUAAUACCCCGCUGUUCUGACGGUACCCAAAGAAUAAGCACCGGCUAACUUCGUG